AGAGUUUGAUCCUGGCUCAGAUUGAACGCUGGCGGCAGGCCUAACACAUGCAAGUCGAGCGGUAGAGAGAAGCUUGCUUCUCUUGAGAGCGGCGGACGGGUGAGUAAUACCUAGGAAUCUGCCUGAUAGUGGGGGAUAACGUUCGGAAACGGACGCUAAUACCGCAUACGUCCUACGGGAGAAAGCAGGGGACCUUCGGGCCUUGCGCUAUCAGAUGAGCCUAGGUCGGAUUAGCUAGUUGGUGAGGUAAUGGCUCACCAAGGCUACGAUCCGUAACUGGUCUGAGAGGAUGAUCAGUCACACUGGAACUGAGACACGGUCCAGACUCCUACGGGAGGCAGCAGUGGGGAAUAUUGGACAAUGGGCGAAAGCCUGAUCCAGCCAUGCCGCGUGUGUGAAGAAGGUCUUCGGAUUGUAAAGCACUUUAAGUUGGGAGGAAGGGCAGUUACCUAAUACGUGACUGUCUUGACGUUACCGACAGAAUAAGCACCGGCUAACUCUGUGCCAGCCGCCGCGGUAAUAC
rnacentral:rRNA from 1 species